UACGUAGGGUGCAAGCGUUAUCCGGAUUCACUGGGUUUAAAGGGUGUGUAGGCGGGCUGUUAAGUCAGUGGUGAAAUCCCCGGGCUCAACCCGGGAACUGCUUCUGAUACUGGCGGACUUGAGGCCAGUAGGGGUCACUAGAACUGACGGUGGAGCGGUGAAAUGCGUAGAUAUCGUCAGGAAUGCCGGUGGUGAAGACGGGUGACUGGGCUGGUUCUGACACUGAGGCACGAAAGCGUGGGGAGCGAACGGG
rnacentral:rRNA from 1 species